ensembl:lncRNA
CACCAAGAUCAACUUUGCAAGUCUACUUGCCCUGGUAUGAGUAUAUACAUGUUAAUAUAUAUAUUUUUUGCUAUUCAUCUAAUCACUCAAUUAGAGUUUUUUUUCCAAUUUAGCUCACUUCUGGACUCAGCACAUAUAAUUAAAGUACAUCUGACUUAUGUUUACAGCUGUGCAGAAAGGGCAAAGGCACACAUAUAGAUACAGUACAACCAUAAACGGUGCUUGGAAAGGUCCUUCAUCAGGCGGCAGUCAGUUAGCUUUGGACUGUGUUGUUGACAUUGAUGUCCGACCAGGAUGUCCAGAAAUUAUAUUAAAGCUAAGGAACAUACAAAUAAAGCAUAGCUCUUCGAAAAGAGACAAUUCGGUGCUACGCUUGAAGAACAUAAGAGAGUCAUUGGAGAAGAACCCCCUGCGGUUCUGGCUCGAGGGGGGAAAGGUCACAAAGCUCUGCCCACAGGAGGCUGAGCAGGUGUGGACCCUCAACAUCAAGAGGUCCAUUCUGAGCAUGUUCCAGACCUCGCACUCGGGACGAGCCAGGGAGACAAUCAGAGAGGUGAGAGGAACUGUAACUCACUCUGCACACUUGUUUGUACAGGCCCACUUUUAUACAAAAAUC